CCUUAGCCCCGAUUGCAGCGACAUCCUUUUAAACGGUGGCUGAGGCUCUCGAAGCCAUCGUUUAAAAGAUACAGCGGAAAGCGGGAAAAUGG
rnacentral:sRNA from 1 species